rnacentral:misc_RNA from 1 species
AAAUAAUGCAGGCAAAACAAGAUUCUGUGAAACUUACACCCCAGCCUCUUAACCCCCAAGAAAGAAGAGAGUAAAUAAAUGAACAUUAUUGGAACUUGGAAGAUUAAAAAGGGGAAAAAAAAUUAUACUUGAUCUGAUUGUCCAAGAUCUAUACAACUGUUAAGAUGCCAAACCAAAUUAUGGACAACUCCAUUGAUCGAUUAGGUAUAUGAUCACAAAAAAUUUGAUGAUGCAAAAUCAAGUUAGAAAGAUGAAAUAUGAAAACUAAUUUUGUCGAGAUUUCAGAUUAUUACCUUGCAUCCAAAGUUUUCCAUUUUUUACAGAAAAUAUGCAGACAUUUUCUCAGCAACCAAACGGA